CCGGCGCACGGGUGAGCAACACGUAUGCAACCUGGCCGCCACAGGGGGAUAACCCGCGGAAACGCGGCCUAAUACCCCGUGACGCCACCGGAGGGCAUCCUCCGGUGGCCAAAGGAGCGAUCCGGUGGCGGAUGGGCAUGCGGCGCAUUAGCUAGACGGCGGGGUGACGGCCCACCGUGGCGACGAUGCGUAGGGGUUCUGAGAGGAAGGCCCCCCACACUGGGACUGAGACACGGCCCAGACUCCUACGGAAGGCAGCAG
rnacentral:rRNA from 1 species